GAUGAAGAACGCAGCGAAAUGCGAUAAGUAGUGUGAAUUGCAGAAUUCAGUGAAUCAUCGAAUCUUUGAACGCACAUUGCGCCCCUUGGUAUUCCAUGGGGCAUGCCUGUUCGAGCGUCAUUUGUACCUUCAAGCUUUGCUUGGUGUUGGGUGUUUGUCCAUUCUCUUGCAGAGGGACUCGCCUUAAAGUACUUGGCAGCCAGUGUUUUGGUUUUGAAGCGCAGCACAAGUCGCGAUUCAACGCUAUACGCCAGCUUCCACAAGCCUUUUUCACUUUUGACCUCGGAUCAGGUAGGGAUACCCGCUGAACUUAAGCAUAUCAAUAAGCGGAGGA
rnacentral:misc_RNA from 1 species